GGCCGUCUGGUCGGUGUGUAAUGUCUGGUCGGUGUGUAACGGCCGUCUGGUCGGUGUGUAGCGGCCGUCUGGUGGGUGCGUAACGGCCGUCUGGUCGGUGCGUAACGGCCGUCUGGUGGGUGCGUAACGGCCGUCUGGU